rnacentral:sRNA from 1 species
AGGCCGGCCGGAGCGCACAGCCGCGCCCCGACCGGCGGAACAGACACCGUGACCGAGGAACAAUCCGGUCACACCAGGGCGUU